rnacentral:rRNA from 1 species
GAUGAACGCUAGCUACAGGCUUAACACAUGCAAGUCGAGGGGCAGCACUAGGUAGCAAUACUGAGGUGGCGACCGGCGCACGGGUGCGUAACGCGUAUCCAACCUUCCCGAUACUCUUGGAUAGCCUUCCGAAAGGGAGAUUAAUACAAGAUGGUGUUUCACUUUCGCAUGUUAUUGAAACUAAAGAUUUAUCGGUAUCGGAUGGGGAUGCGUGACAUUAGAUAGUAGGCGGGGUAACGGCCCACCUAGUCUACGAUGUCUAGGGGUUCUGAGAGGAAGGUCCCCCACACUGGAACUGAGACACGGUCCAGACUUCUACGGGAGGCAGCAGUGAGGAAUAUUGGUCAAUGGUCGGAAGACUGAACCAGCCAAGUAGCGUGAAGGAUGAAGGUUCUAUGGAUUGUAAACUUCUUUUAUACGGGAAUAAAACCUCCCACGUGUGGGAGCUUGUAUGUACCGUAUGAAUAAGCAUCGGCUAACUCCGUGCCAGCCGCCGCCGUAAGAC